rnacentral:rRNA from 1 species
UCAGGAUGAACGCUAGCGAUAGGCCUAACACAUGCAAGUCGAGGGGCAGCGAUGGUAGCAAUACCAGUCGGCGACCGGCGGAUGGGUGAGUAACACGUAUGCAACCUGCCUUCAACAUUGGAAUAACCCGUUGAAAGACGGACUAAUGCCUUAUAACACAGGGGCGCCGCAUGGCGAUAUUUGUUAAAGAUUUUAUCGGUUGAAGAUGGGCAUGCGCAUGAUUAGUUAGUUGGUAAGGUAACGGCUUACCAAGACAACGAUCAUUAGGGGUUCUGAGAGGAAGGUCCCCCACACUGGUACUGAGACACGGACCAGACUCCUACGGGAGGCAGCAGUGAGGAAUAUUGGUCAAUGAGCGAGAGCUUGAACCAGCCACGUCGCGUGCAGGAAGAAUGUCUUAUGGAUUGUAAACUGCUUUUUCGGUAGAGUAAUGUGCGUCACGUGUGACGUAUUGCAAGUAUACCGAGAAUAAGGAUCGGCUAACUCCGUGCCAGCAGCCGCGGUAAUACGGAGGAUCCGAGCGUUAUCCGGAUUUAUUGGGUUUAAAGGGUACGUAGGCGGGAUGAUAAGUCAGCGGUGAAAUUUUGCAGCUUAACUGUAAGCUUGCCGUUGAAACUAUUAUUCUUGA